GCACUCACAAAGGUAGAGCAGAUAAAGCCUGCUCUAAUUAUAACAGCUUCUUCAAAUAUAGGACUGCACAGACAAAAUAUUCCAAAAGAUAUAUUUAUUGCCCAGCACAGCACAAGUAUGUCACCUUCCUCCACAUCCAGUACAGGGUUACAGAGUGUUCAGCUAUAUGCAGCUUAGGGUGUCGACUAUUCCCUCUGUUUGUUCGCCGCCGUUAUUGCCGUUUCCACUGCAGCUUCCUCAAACUUCCGGGGGGAGGGGACUUCCAAGAGUGCGUG